AUUGAACGCUGGCGGCAGGCCUAACACAUGCAAGUCGAACGAGUGGCGGACUGGUGAGUAAUGUCUGGGAACCUGCCUGAUGGAGGGGGAUAACUACUGGAAACGGUAGCUACUACCGCAUACCAUCAGAUGUGCCCAGCUGGGAUUAGCUGGUUGGUGGGGUAACGGCUCACCAAGGCGACGAUCCCUAGCUGGUCUGAGAGGCUGACCAGCCACACUGGGACUGAGACACGGUCCAGACUCCCACGGGAGGCAGCAGUGGGGAAUAUUGGACAAUGGGCGCAAGCCUGAUGGAGCCAGGCCGCGUGGAUGAAGAAGGUCUUCGGUUUGUAAAGCUCUUUUAGCGGGGAAGCGGUACCCGCAGAAGAAGCACCGGCUAACUCCGUGCCAGCAGCCGCGGUAAUAC
rnacentral:rRNA from 1 species